rnacentral:rRNA from 1 species
CCUACGGGAGGCAGCAGUCGAGAAUCAUUCACAAUGGGGGAAACCCUGAUGGUGCGACGCCGCGUGGGGGAAUGAAGGUCUUCGGAUUGUAAACCCCUGUCAUGUGGGAGCAAAUUAAAAAGAUAGUACCACACGAGGAAGAGACGGCUAACUCUGUGCCAGCAGCCGCGGUAAUACAGAGGUCUCAAGCGUUGUUCGGAAUCACUGGGCGUAAAGCGUGCGUAGGCUGUUUCGUAAGUCGUGUGUGAAUGGCGCGGGCUCAACCCGCGGACGGCACAUGAUACUGCGAGACUAGAGUAAUGGAGGGGGAACCGGAAUUCUCGGUGUAGCAGUGAAAUGCGUAGAUAUCGAGAGGAACACUCGUGGCGAAGGCGGGUUCCUGGACAUUAACUGACGCUGAGGCACGAAGGCCAGGGGAGCGAAAGGGAUUAGAUACCUCGGUAGUC